rnacentral:rRNA from 1 species
AAACUAACAAGGAUUCCCCUAGUAACGGCGAGUGAAGCGGGAAGAGCUCAAAUUUGUAAUCUGGCACUUUCAGUGUCCGAGUUGUAAUCUCGAGAAGUGUUUUCCGCGCCGGACCGCAUACAAGUCUGUUGGAAUACAGCGUCAUAGUGGUGAGAACCCCGUAACUGAUGCGGAUGCCCGGUGCUUUGUGAUACACUUUCGAAGAGUCGAGUUGUUUGGGAAUGCAGCUCAAAUUGGGUGGUAAAUUCCAUCUAAAGCUAAAUAUUGGCGAGAGACCGAUAGCGAACAAGUACCGUGAGGGAAAGAUGAAAAGCACUUUGGAAAGAGAGUUAACAGUACGUGAAAUUGUUGGAAGGGAAACGCUUGAAGUCAGACUUGCUAUUCGGAGUUCAGCCGCAAGGUGUAUUCUUCGAUUUGCAGGCCAGCAUCAGUUUUCGGGGAUGGAAAAUCGUGGUUUGAAGGUAGCAGCUUUGGCUGUGUUAUAGCUUUCCACUGGAUUCAUCUUUGGGGACUGAGGAACGCAGUACGCUUUUUGCAAAGCUCUCGAGCUUUUCGUACUUAGGAUGCUGGUGGAAUGGCUUUAAACGAC